AGAGUUUGAUCAUGGCUCAGGAUGAACGCUAGCGGCAGGCUUAACACAUGCAAGUCGAGGGGUAGAGGCUUUCGGGCCUUGAGACCGGCGCACGGGUGCGUAACGCGUAUGCAAUCUGCCUUGUACAAAGGGAUAGCCCUCGGAAACGGGGAUUAAUACCAUAUAGUAUAUAGUUGUGGCAUCACAAUUUUAUUAAAGAUUUAUCGGUACAAGAUGAGCAUGCGUCCCAUUAGCUAGUUGGUAUGGUAACGGCAUACCAAGGCAAUGAUGGGUAGGGGUCCUGAGAGGGAGAUCCCCCACACUGGUACUGAGACACGGACCAGACUCCUACGGGAGGCAGCAGUGAGGAAUAUUGGACAAUGGGCGCAAGCCUGAUCCAGCCAUGCCGCGUGCAGGAUGACGGUCCUAUGGAUUGUAAACUGCUUUUAUACGGGAAGAAACCCUGGCUCGUGAGCCAGAUUGACGGUACCGUAGGAAUAGGGAUCGGCUAACUCCGUGCCAGCAGCCGCGGUAAUACGGAGGAUCCAAGCGUUAUCCGGAAUCAUUGGGUUUAAAGGGUCCGUAGGCGGUUUUAUAAGUCAGUGGUGAAAUCCGGCAGCUCAACUGUCGAACUGCCAUUGAUACUGUAGAACUUGAAUUACUGUGAAGUAACUAGAAUAUGUAGUGUAGCGGUGAAAUGCUUAGAUAUUACAUGGAAUACCAAUUGCGAAGGCAGGUUACUAACAUUAUAUUGACGCUGAUGGACGAAAGCGUGGGGAGCGAACAGGAUUAGAUACCCUAGUAGUCC
rnacentral:rRNA from 1 species